CUCAUCCUUAUAAGUCGUGUUACUUUUCCUCCCACAACCGAUGUGUGACUAAACCCAACACAAAGAGGCGUAGUUCACAUGCAAGGAAAAGCAUAUAAGCUAGCCUAGGAGAUACAUGGCAGAAGAAGGAAAUAAAGAAAACAAUAGGAAUAGGAGGUUUUGGGAAAGAGGUGGCCAUUUCUCUGUACAAAUACCUUCGUAUAAACUUGUGAGGAUGCUCCCGCGAUGAGCCCGCUUGUGCUCUAGAUCAUUGUUAAGAACUUAUAAUCAAACUUGCAGAGAAUGUGGUCAGUCUUUAGCCUGCACCCCUGAAGAGCAACAUCCAUUUGAAUGUUCAAGUAUCGAACUUGCUUAUUGGAAAAGACACAGAUGGCACCCGCGCACGCUCUCGAUCUGUACUCAGCUAAUCUUGAGUCUUGACACUGUCUUUCCCUGCAACCAGACAUCUUGUUGACGCAUGGCAGUACGAUCACGUUCUAGGGUGCAGCCAGCUGGCCGGAGAGCUAGAAAAAGCAUGGACCGGCACUCGGGUAAUUAGUUGAGCAGAUGAACAUGAUUUGAAUUGAACUUGUUUUUUUCCUAUUAAUCAAGCUUGAAAGUAAGUUGCCUCCUCACAUAUUGGCCUCGCAGGAGCAUGCCGUGCCCAUCCCAACUUUGUGGCAUUCUCAUAUAUAUUAUCAUAUAGAAAAAAGGACUCUUGCGCUUGCCGGUUACUACCACAAAUUCAUGUGGAAUUUAAUAUUAUUAUUUUCACAUGCUCACCAAUCUAUGAUCUAUCUAUCUAUCUAUCUAUCUAUU
rnacentral:lncRNA from 1 species